rnacentral:rRNA from 1 species
UGGGGAAUAUUGCACAAUGGAGGGAACUCUGAUGCAGCGACGCCGCGUGAACGAAGAAGGCUUUCGAGUCGUAAAGUUCUUUUAUAUGGGAAGAUAAUGACGGUACCAUAAGAAAAAGCCCCGGCUAACUACGUGCCAGCAGCCGCGGUAAUACGUAGGGGGCUAGCGUUGUCCGGAAUCACUGGGCGUAAAGGGUUCGCAGGCGGAAAUGCAAGUCAGGUGUAAAAGGCAGUAGCUUAACUACUGUAAGCAUUUGAAACUGCAUAUCUUGAGAAGAGUAGAGGUAAGUGGAAUUUUUAGUGUAGCGGUGAAAUGCGUAGAUAUUAAAAAGAAUACCGGUGGCGAAGGCGACUUACUGAGCUCAUUAUGACGCUGAGGAACGAAAGCGUGGGUAGCAAACAGG